AAAAAAAUCCAUCCAGUCGUUUUUUAGUUAUCUCCGUAUUUAGGAACUGUGUGCUCAGAGCCGUUCUGAAAACUCCACUGACAUGACGUCAUGUCAGUGCUGGCGGGUUGAUGGUACUGCCCAUGGAGCCGCCCACUGCCCUGCCCAAAAGAUUAUCUAAACACCGCCAUUAUUCCCGGCCGCCCGCUCGCAUUGCUCCGGUUAGAACCAUGGCGGAAGUACGAUCUGAAAAAGAGGCAGCGUUUGCUCUGUUGUUGGCUGCACAAACGAGCACAAAACUCUUUUGAAAACUCCCUGGUCGGAGGAUUUGAGGACUCAAUGGGUGGAUUUUAUUUAUAAUGGGAACGUACCCGCGGCACUUCCAAAAUAUCUGUACGUAUGUGCGCACCAUUUCACUUCGGACUGUUUUAUCAACGAGGGACAGUUCAACGCUGGAUUUGCUAGAUGUCUGAAGAUAAAGAAUGGAUCCGUACCAACUAUCCGUGAUCCUACUACAAACGUGGCAUCUGUAAGUGUGAACCUUUUAUUUUGACUUACUGUUUAGCCUAAAUUCCCCCCGGUGCCCCAACAC